GACGAACCGUGCGAACGUUAUUCGGAAUCACUGGGCUUAAAGCGCGUGUAGGCGGAUGGGGACGUCGGUUGCUGAAAUCCCCCGGCUCAACCGGGGAACGGGCGCCGAAACGCCUCGUCUGGAGGGACGUAGGGGGACCUGGAACUUCCGGUGGAGCGGUGAAAUGCGCAGAGAUCGGAAAGAACACCAACGGCGAAAGCACUCUGCUGGGCCGACACUGACACUGAGAGACGAAAGCUAGGGGAGCGAAUGGG
rnacentral:rRNA from 1 species